rnacentral:lncRNA from 1 species
CGUAUGUCCGUUUUAUGCUCAUUUAGUCGUUCUUCUGGUGUUCGCCCUGUAACCCCUAUGUAUCUCUUUUCCAAGUUAUUGGUUUUGUCACUUAUUGGGAUACUGUAUACUCCAGAUUUAUAUUUAUCCUCUAGCCGAUCUUUACUGUUUCGAAGGCACGCAAAGGUAGAAGGGUUUCGUCUUAUGGUGAGUUUUUUAUUCGCUAGGUGAAGUGCUUUUUUAAUAGCUGGAUAUUUCACUAGAUGGUAAGGUAUUGCAACAUAAUUGUCAUUGGCGCUAAUGGGUGGUUGCUGUAAGUUAGGAGCCUCUUCAUUUUGCUGCACUCUUGCUUCAUUGAUGGCAGUUUCUACGUUUUUCUUGAUGGAGAGUAACAGGCCUUUGUGGUGGCCAUGCUUUGUUCCGUGCUCAAGGAUGUGUUGCACCUCACGGUUAUAGUCGAUAGGAUAUGUGCAGUAUAGAUGCGCUCUGCUGAAGUAUGAACGG